ACCGGAGCUUGCUCCACCGAAAGAAAAAGAGUGGCGAACGGGUGAGUAACACGUGGGUAACCUGCCCAUCAGAAGGGGAUAACACUUGGAAACAGGUGCUAAUACCGUAUAACACUAUUUUCCGCAUGGAAGAAAGUUGAAAGGCGCUUUUGCGUCACUGAUGGAUGGACCCGCGGUGCAUUAGCUAGUUGGUGAGGUAACGGCUCACCAAGGCAACGAUGCAUAGCCGACCUGAGAGGGUGAUCGGCCACACUGGGACUGAGACACGGCCCAGACUCCUACGGGAGGCAGCAGUAGGGAAUCUUCGGCAAUGGACGAAAGUCUGACCGAGCAACGCCGCGUGAGUGAAGAAGGUUUUCGGAUCGUAAAACUCUGUUGUUAGAGAAGAACAAGGAUGAGAGUAAAAUGUUCAUCCCUUGACGGUAUCUAACCAGAAAGCCACGGCUAACUACGUGCCAGCAGCCGCGGUAAUACGUAGGUGGCAAGCGUUGUCCGGAUUUAUUGGGCGUAAAGCGAGCGCAGGCGGUUUCUUAAGUCUGAUGUGAAAGCCCCCGGCUCAACCGGGGAGGGUCAUUGGAAACUGGGAGACUUGAGUGCAGAAGAGGAGAGUGGAAUUCCAUGUGUAGCGGUGAAAUGCGUAGAUAUAUGGAGGAACACCAGUGGCGAAGGCGGCUCUCUGGUCUGUAACUGACGCUGAGGCUCGAAAGCGUGGGGAGCGAACAGGAUUAGAUACCCUGGUAGUCCACGCCGUAAACGAUGAGUGCUAAGUGUUGGAGGGUUUCCGCCCUUCAGUGCUGCAGCAAACGCAUUAAGCACUCCGCCUGGGGAGUACGACCGCAAGGUUGAAACUCAAAGGAAUUGACGGGGGCCCGCACAAGCGGUGGAGCAUGUGGUUUAAUUCGAAGCAACGCGAAGAACCUUACCAGGUCUUGACAUCCUUUGACCACUCUAGAGAUAGAGCUUCCCCUUCGGGGGCAAAGUGACAGGUGGUGCAUGGUUGUCGUCAGCUCGUGUCGUGAGAUGUUGGGUUA
rnacentral:rRNA from 1 species